rnacentral:rRNA from 1 species
UCUUUUUCGAUCGGCCCCUAUCGAACGCGACCUCAGAUCAGACGAGACGACCCGCUGAAUUUAAGCAUAUUACUAAGCGGAGGAAAAGAAACUAACCAGGAUUCCCUCAGUAGCGGCGAGCGAAGAGGGAAGAGCC